AGUUGAGGGACAUAAAUGAUUAAUGGGAAAGAAAGAGCUAAUCAACCUACUAACUAAUAAAGAGCAUAAAGAAUUAAAAGAAACUAGGAAACGAGAGGAAAAUUAAACAGAGAAGAGCUAAAAAACUUUGGAUGGAAAAGGGUGGAAUUUGAGGAAAAAUAAGGUGAGAGGGUCUGCGGUGUUAAAAUGAGCCCUCAAAUCCAAGUGUUUAUUAAUUAAUGGAAAUAUUAGCAAAUUAGUAAAAAAAAUUUAACUUAAUUAGCAAAAAUCUCACUACUUUAUAAAUAUUAGUAAAAUUGUCAAAAAUGUCAUUCUUUUGAAAAAUAUUAUGUAUCCUUAUUCAACUCCAAUUUUAUCUCCUACUGCUUACACGUUUUCCAACUAAUUUUAUAUUGUAUAAAAAUGAAAUUGGUUUCUUUAACUUUCAUUGAUUCACAUUUUUGCCGUUUAUCCCCCAUUCAUACACGUUAUCCAAUUUGGCUCAUAUGUUAAAAAAUCUCUCUUUCAUAUUUACCUUUUAAGAUUCUCAUCGAACUUUUCAAAUUCUUCAUAUCUCUCUAUCAUAAUUUUUGGUGUUCCUAUUUUUUAUGAAAUUGAAUUUACAAAAAUUUCAUUAAUUAAGGGUAAAUCUCGAUUAGGCCUCUAAAACACUUUCCAAUGGAUGAAUCUGAGAGACUUACUAGAGGAUCCACUGCUAAAAUGAGGGAAGAGAGACGAUAAGAACAUUUACAUGACCCAAUUGGUGUGCUUUCCUUAAAAUCAUAUCGAAAAUGUAGAAUUUUCGUCUACUCGUUGGGUACUUGAAAAGGAUGGAGAAGACCAAAUAAUUGAUGAAGAGGUAGCAUGACCAAAAUCGAUACAAUAAGAAUAAGGAACUACGACCAAUAGAAGAAUGAUGUUGGAGCCAUUAGUGAUAGUGAGACAGCCCCAAGGCAUAACAUGCCUCACAUACUUCAGGAUGAUAGUGAAACAAUUGCAAUACAUUACUUGUGUAUUUUUAGUUUAGUUAAUCUUGCUUUAUUAUGAACUAUUUUGUUUACUACUUUGCCUACUGUAUUACGCGAAGUCCUCAUUUUGAUCUUAUGAUUUGUUGAUCUAUGAUUAAAUAUUUUUGAGACA